rnacentral:pre_miRNA from 1 species
UAUUUACUCCCUCCGUUUGGAAUUAUUUGUCUUGAAAAUGGAUGUAUCUAGAACUAAAAUACAUCUAGAUACAUCCAUUUCUACGACAAGUAAUUCCGAAUGGAGGGAGUACCUU